rnacentral:lncRNA from 1 species
AGUGGGAGAGCUGGGGCUUGACAGCCAAGAAUCUCUUUAAAGAUACUAACCAGGAGCAGAGACUCCAUCAUUCAUCAUCUUCUGAAACAUGAAGAAUGUUCUCGCUUAUCUCCUCGGGUACCACAAAAGGUCAGGAGGCAAACUCAUCCCCAGGAGAGAACCAAGUGUCCCCAUUUGCUCUGUGCCUUCACCGGAAAUUAGUACAGACCUCAACAUGGUGUGGUUAUUUGAAUGAAAGGUCUCCUUCCAGUCAGUCUCUCCUCCCAGAAAGGGGGCAGGGAGAGAGCUCUGGCUUAGUAGUUCCUCCUUCUAACCGGGAUUCCCUCCCUUAUACCAAGGGAUCUUUUUCCUCAAGAGGCCACCAUGAUGCUGUACCAGGCAGUAUCCACCCUACAUGGAAGAUGUGUACAACCUCAACUCCUGAGGAGCAGGUACAUAUAGCCAAGCUGUUCUGCCUAUGGCCACCAAGUUGACAAGGGGAAGGACCAGAGACUGUCAGGAGGUAGAGAUGUGGUGAAGGGUGCAGACAGCCUGCCUUUGUUGUCUCUUCAAAGACAUUCCAAGGUGUUGUUUACGUUUUGUUCUCAAAUAUUACAUCUCAGUGUACUGGCCUGGGGAGAAGCAACCUGCUAGGUGACUCAGAACCUACCCAGGGACAAUUUCUUUCCCAGUCCGAGUACUUAUGACUGUCUCCUGAUCCGUUAUCAAAAUUCCAUUGGUAUUUCUUGCCUUUGGAUCCUGUGACACCAAUUUAAACACUUUUAUCUUUACUACCUGUUUAUACCAACACUGAGUUUCAUUUGUUCUUUGUGCGAAGCUUCUUACGGUAGAAAUGUGGGUGAUCAACUUUAAGCUGUCUUCCGUCUUAGACACACACAUGUAAUUCUCUCUCUGUCUGCUUUGCUUAGAGCACAUCCUAAGAUUUUUAUCUUUAUGUUUUUACUUGAUAAAAACAUAUUUCCAUUUGAAAAUUGAAUCUCAGCUAGUCUGUAGACUCAGGCAAAGGAUUCCAAGACCAAGACCAGUCUGGGCAACACUGUGGAAUUUUGACUCAAAACAAAAUAAGAUAAAAAGAAAGUAUAUUAAAUUUCUCUUAUAAUUAAUUUUUAUUCAUAUGUUGUUGUUUAAUUCCCAAAUAUCUGGUAACUUCUAGAUACAUAAUUAUCAAAUUUGGUUCUAUAAACACCCAUAGUUUCCCUUCUUUAUAAUUUAUUGAGACUUGUUUUAUGAUUAAAGAUCUUUGAAGGUGACAGAUAGUGUCUGUGGGAGACAGUUAUGCAUAGAUAAGGUUAUGGGGAUGGGACUCGUGAUGUGCCACAAAUAUUAAUGAUAAGGUUUAGAUCUUCUAUGUCCUUAAUAAUUUUGUGAACAUUUUCUAUGAAUUCUGUUAGUCUAUAAAUACAAAGUUGUCAUUUUACCCUUUAGUAUUUUCAAUGUUUAUUCUUAUGUUUUACAACUCUGGUACGCAGUGAUUCCACAGUCAAUAUGGAUGUCUUCUUGAUGAAAUAAAUGGCCCUUUGCCC